UAGUAGUGGUACUAUUAUUCAAUAGCAAGUUUUGGUAAUUGAAACUUUAAAUUGCAGCUUAAUGUCGCUGUGUCAUUGUGAUCUGUUCUAAAUACGUGAAUGGCUCUGAGUGCACACU